UACGGAGGAUGCGAGCGUUAUCCGGAUUUAUUGGGUUUAAAGGGUGCGCAGGCGGGAAUUUAAGUCAGCGGUGAAAUCUGGUCGCUUAACGAUCACACUGCCGUUGAAACUGGGUUUCUUGAGUAUGGAUGAAGUAGGCGGAAUUCGUUGUGUAGCGGUGACAUGCAUAGAUAUAACGAGGAACUCCGAUUGCGUAGGCAGCUUACUAAGCCAUAACUGACGCUCAAGCACGAAAGCGUGGGGAUCAAACAGGAUUAGAUACCCUGGUAGUCCACGCCGUAAACGAUGAUUACUAGUUGUAUGCGAUAUACCGUAUGUGACUAAGCGAAAGCGAUAAGUAAUCCACCUGGGGAGUACGCCGGCAACGGUGAA
rnacentral:rRNA from 1 species